AACCUUCCACAAUGGACGAAAGUCUGAUGGAGCAACGCCGGGGGAGUGAAGAAGGGUCUCGGAUCGUAAUGCUCUGUUGUAUGGGAAGAACAAGUACAGGAGUAACUGUCUGUACCUUGCUGUUACGUUACCAAAAAGCCACUGCUAACUACGUUCUGGCAGCCGCGGUACUACGGAGGUGGCAAGCGUCGUCCGGAAUUAUUGGGCGUAAGGCACGCGCAGGCGGUUCUUUAAGUCUGAUGUGAAAGCCAACGGCUCAACCGUGGAGGGUCAUUGGAAACUGGAGGACUUGAGUACAGAAGAGGAAAGCGGAAUUACACGUGUAGCGGUGAAAUGCGUAGAGAUGUGGAGGAACACCAGUGGCGAAGGCGGCUUUCUGGUCUGUAACUGACGCUGAGGCGCGAAAGCGUGGGGAGCAAACA
rnacentral:rRNA from 1 species